UACGAAGGGGGCUAGCGUUGUUCGGAAUUACUGGGCGUAAAGCGCACGUAGGCGGAUACUUAAGUCAGGGGUGAAAUCCCGGGGCUCAACCCCGGAACUGCCUUUGAUACUGGGUAUCUCGAGUCCGGAAGAGGUGAGUGGAAUUCCGAGUGUAGAGGUGAAAUUCGUAGAUAUUCGGAGGAACACCAGUGGCGAAGGCGGCUCACUGGUCCGGUACUGACGCUGAGGUGCGAAAGCGUGGGUAGCAAACAGG
rnacentral:rRNA from 1 species